rnacentral:rRNA from 1 species
UACGGGGGGGGGCAAGCGUUGUUCGGAAUUACUGGGCGUAAAGGGCUCGUAGGCGGCCAACUAAGUCGGAUGUGAAAUCCCCAGGCUCAACUUGGGAACUGCAUCCGAUACUGGAUGGCUUGAAUCCGGGAGAGGGAUGCAGAAUUCCAGGUGUAGCGGUGAAAUGCGUAGAUAUCUGGAGGAAUACCGGUGGCGAAGGCGGCAUCCUGGACCGGCAUUGACGCUGAGGCGCGAAAGCGUGGGGAGCAAACAGG